rnacentral:lncRNA from 10 species
GUUAAACACUUUCCUGGUACCUUUCCAUUCAGCAGUUGGCCUACUCUAAAACCUAGGUUACUAAUAGAAGAUGACAGGGGAUCCUCUGAGACUGGUUAUUUAUCACCACACCUCUUUUCUCCUCUUCUUGGGCUCAUGGCCACACUAUAUUUCCCAGACUCCCUUGCAGUUGGGUGUAGCCAUGUGACUGAGAGCUGGCCAAUGUCAUGUGAGUAGAAGUGUUUCUCCUCUACCCCCUUAGGUGAUCUUCAUGCUCAUUCCAUGGCUAGAAUGGAAGUGAUUUCCAGGACCACCUUGAGAGCCAUGUGUUGAAGGUGCUGGGGAGAGGAGCAGUGAGCAAACACAAAAUCCCUGCCUGUUUAGAACUGAUCUUCUAGUGGUGGUGGUUGGGGCUGGGAGCAGCUGGACA